rnacentral:rRNA from 1 species
AGGGCACCACCAGGAGUGGAGCCUGCGGCUUAAUUUGACUCAACACGGGAAAACUCACCCGGCCCGGACACCGUAAGGAUUGACAGAUUGAGAGCUCUUUCCUGAUUCGGUGGGUGGUGGUGCAUGGCCGUUCUUAGUUGGUGGAGCGAUCUGUCUGGUUAAUUCCGAUAACGAACGAGACUCUAGCCUGCUAAAUAGGCAGUGGAUCUUUAGUCCACUGUACUUCUUAGAGGGACAAGCAGCGUCUAGCUGCACGAGAUUGAGCAAUAACAGGUCUGUGAUGCCCCUGGAUGUUCGGGGCUGCACGCGCGCUACACUGAAGGAAUCAACAUGCUUCUCAACCUUGUCCGGAAGGACUAGGUAACCCGUUGAAACUCCUUCGUGAUUGGGAUAGGGAAUUGCAAUUAUUUCCCUUGAACGAGGAAUUCCCAGUAAGUGCGGGUCAUCAGCUCGCGCUGAUUACGUCCCUGCCCUUUGUACACACCGCCCGUCGCUACUACCGAUUGGAAGUAGACGAGA